UCUUCGAUGGUCUAGUGGUGAUGAUUUCCGCUUGUCAUUAGCAUCUGCUGGUAGCAAGCGCGGGAGACCGGGGUUCGAUUCCCCGUCGGAGAG